rnacentral:rRNA from 1 species
UACGUAGGGGGCAAGCGUUGUCCGGAUUUAUUGGGCGUAAAGCGCGUGUAGGCGGCCACGCAGGUCCGCUGUGAAACUCGAGGCUCAACCUCGAGCUGUCGGUGGAAACCGCGUGGCUAGAGUCCGGAAGAGGGGACUGGAAUUCCCGGUGUAGCGGUGGAAUGCGCAGGAUAUCGGGAGGAACACCCGUGGCGAAGGGCGGGUCCCUGGGA